UACGUAGGGAGCAAGCGUUGUCCGGAAUCAUUGGGCGUAAAGCGCGCGUAGGCGGCCUUGUAAGUCCGCUGUAAAAGUCACAGGCUCAACCUGUGAACGCCGGUGGAUACUGCGAGGCUAGAGUCCGGAAGAGGCGAGUGGAACUCCUGGUGUAGCGGUGGAAUGCGCAGAUAUCAGGAAGAACACCAACGGCGAAGGCAGCUCGCUGGGACGGUACUGACGCUGAGGCGCGAAAGCGUGGGGAGCGAACAGG
rnacentral:rRNA from 1 species